UACGAAGGGGGCUAGCGUUGUUCGGAAUCACUGGGCGUAAAGGGCGCGUAGGCGGCUUUAUAAGUCGGGGGUGAAAGCCUGUGGCUCAACCACAGAAUUGCCUUCGAUACUGUAGAGCUUGAGACCGGAAGAGGUAAGUGGAACUGCGAGUGUAGAGGUGAAAUUCGUAGAUAUUCGCAAGAACACCAGUGGCGAAGGCGGCUCACUGGCCCGGUACUGACGCUGAGGUGCGAAAGCGUGGGGAGCACACAGG
rnacentral:rRNA from 1 species